GCAACCUCCAAAUUGACUGUUCUGCAUCCAGCGCACUUUCGGAAAUGACCUGGUACAAAAAUGGAAAAAAAGUUCAUCAAGUUGCAGGAACAAAUGGUGUCACUCUUGUGAUAGAAAAUGCAACAGUUGAAGACGCAGGAUUUUAUACAUGCUCUGCUACAAAAUUUGUUGAUGGCUUGGAGCAAAAAGUGAUGGCAAUGGCCAAACUAGAAGUUCUCCGUAAAAAUUAAGACUGGGGAAAAAUGAAAAAUCCACACGAAUGCAGAUGGAAGAAAAACUAAUUUUGGUGAAAAUUAUGAUAAUUUCGAAUGAUCUGUUAUUAUAUUCUUUUAUUCGUUGAAUACCUCAUUGAUCAUACUACAUGUGUGUGUGUUGACAGCUUUUUACUGUAUUAUCUAUCUCCGUAUUUCCAUUGAUAACGUGCCUUUCAGCCUUUCUUGUAGGAGUCGUGCCCAAAGUCUGGUCUACUAAUAUCUAAACAACACCAACUAUUCUGAAGAUUAAAUCGAAAUGUAAUUGGUUGAAGUCAAAUUAUUAUGGAAUAAAUAAAAGAAUGAAAUCAA